UCCCUGGUGGUCUAGCGGUAAGGAUUCUGCGUUUUCACUGCUGAAGGUCUGGGUUCCAUCCCUAGUCAGGGAA
rnacentral:tRNA from 1 species